UUUUAUAUAGUAUAUACAUUACGCCCAAUUUCGACUUGGAAAAAAAUAUAUUAAUU
rnacentral:tRNA from 1 species